GCCGAGCCGUAAAAAAUUAACCUACACCAACAAACGCCAGGGAAUUACGAGCCCCAGCUUAAAACCCAAAGGACUUGACGGUGUCCCAUCCUACUAGAGGAGCCUGUUCUAUAACCGAUAAUCCACGUUAUACCUAACCAUUUUUUGCUUUUCAGCCUGUAUACCUCCGUCGCAAGCUUACCAUGUGAACGCACAAUAGCAAGCUUAAUGGCCCUAAAGCCAACACGUCAGGUCAAGGUGCAGCUCAUGAAAUGGGAAGUGAUGGGCUACAAUUUCUACUUUAGAACAAACGAAAUUCUUCAUGAAACACAGUACGAAGGCGGAUUUAGCAGUAAAUAGGCAAUAGAGAGCCCUAUUAAACUUGGCCCUGGGACGUGUACAAACCGCCCGUCACCCUCUUCAAUAAAGCCCCACCCAUUCAUAAACCUCAGCCCACAUCUUAGAAGAGGCAAGUCGAAACAUGGUAAGUGUACUGGAAAGUGCACUUGGAAAACAAAAUGUAGCUUAACAAAAGCCUCUCGCUUACACCGAGAAAAUGUCUGUGCACUCGGAUCAUUUUGAGCCAACCAUCUAGCCCACAACAUAAUAUAUAUCUUGAUACCCAAAAACCCUGAAAUAAAACAUUCUAACCUUUUAGUAGAGGCGAUCGAAACACAUCUAGGCGCUUUAGAGGUAGUACCGCGAGGGAAAGAUGAAAUAAAAAUGAAAUAGAUCCAAAGCCUACAACAACAGAAACACUAACUCGUACCUUUUGCAUCAUGGCCUAACCAGUUAAACCAAGCAAAACGAACAAUUUUAGUUUGACUCCCCGAAACUAAGCGAGCUACUUCAAAACAGCUUCAAGAGCCAACCCGUCUCUGUGGCAAUAGAGUGGGAAGAUUUUCUAGUAGAAGUGAUAAGCCCAACGAGCUUAGAGAUAGCUGGUUAUUCAGGAAAAGAAUUUUAGUUCUGCCUUAAAUUCCCCCUGUCACCAAACAAAAAGAUUUAAGAGUUACUCAAUUAAGGCACAGCUUACUUGAAACAGGAUUCAACCUAAACAACAGGGUAAAAAGGUUUUAACCAUUAUACGCAGUGGGCCUAAAAGCAGCCACCUUUAAAAGCGUCAAAGCUUAACAUAAUAUUACCCCUAAUUCCACUAAUAACCAUGAGCCCUUCACCCCUACUGAAUGAUGUUAUAAACUUAUAACAGACACUAUGCUAGGACUAGUAACAAGAAUACGAAAUUCUCCAAAAUGUAAGCAUAAACCAGAACGGACCACCCACUGGUAAUUAACGGAAAUGAGCCCAAUACAGCAACACACCUAGAAAACCCUGUACCCCCCCCCCCGUCAACCUAACACUAGAACAUUCCUGGAAAGAUUAACAGAAGGAGAAGGAACUCGGCAAAUCUCAACCCCGCCUGUUUACCAAAAACACCGCCUCUUGCCCUCCCCUAUAAGAGGUCCAGCCUGCCCAGUGAUAAAAUUCAACGGCCGCGGUAUCCUAACCGUGCGAAGGUAGCAUAAUCACUUGUUCUUUAAAUAAGGACUCGUAUCAACGGCACCACGAGGGUUGCACUGUCUCCUCCCUCCAAUCAGUGAAACUGAUCUCCCCGUGAAGAAGCGGGGGUAUCACUAUAAGACGAGAAGACCCCAUGGAGCUUAAAACUGGACAGCAACUUACUUAUAUUCUCCUCCCCACUCACAAAGACAUGCCCGUCAGCUUUUGGUUGGGGCGACCGCGGAGUAAAAACCAACCUCCACGUCAAAAGAACACUAUUCUAUCUUAGAGCCACUCCUCCAAGAAUUAGCACACUAAUGAGCACGACCCGUUCAACGAUCAACGAACCAAGUUACCCUGGGGAUAACAGCGCAAUCUACUUCAAGAGCCCCUAUCGACAAGUAGGCUUACGACCUCGAUGUUGGAUCAGGGUAUCCUAGAGGCGCAGCCGCUUCUAA
rnacentral:misc_RNA from 1 species